rnacentral:rRNA from 1 species
GACGAACGCUGGCGGCGUGCCUAACACAUGCAAGUCGAACGGGGUGAAGCCCUUCGGGACUUCACUUAGUGGCGAACGGGUGAGUAACGCGUGAGGAACCUGCCUUUCAGUGGGGGACAACAGUUGGAAACGACUGCCAAUACCGCAUGAUACUUUUUGGGGGCAUCCCCUGGAAAGUCAAAGAUUUAUUGCUGAAAGAUGGCCUCGCGUCUGAUUAGCUGGCUGGCGGGGUAACGGCCCACCAAGGCGACGAUCAGUAGCCGGUCUGAGAGGAUGAACGGCCACAUUGGGACUGAGAUACGGCCCAGACUCCUACGGGAGGCAGCAGUGGGGAAUAUUGGGCAAUGGGCGAAAGCCUGACCCAGCGACGCCGCGUGAGGGAAGAAGGUC